CAGAGCUCGAAUUCAUCUUGUUUAGGUUUGGUAAACCCAUGUUAAACUAGUGCUCUUCCCUUGUUAUUUAUAGACAGGGUUUCUUUUAAAGGGAAAUUAAAGUUGAAAAUAAACCUUUUUACAGCUAAAAGGAAGUGUCUGUAGUGCCACAUGCUAAGGACACAAGAACACAGCCCUGUCUAAAAGAGAGUGCCAUAAAUUUUAUGUAAACACAUGAUCUCAUUAGAUUUAUAUCUAAUCCUAUUGCCUGCUGUUUUCCAGCCUCUUAGGGCAAGCCAGGCUGAAGAUGUGAUAGAUGGUCUUUAAAUCUAACCUUGAAGUGGGCUGGAAAUCAGGUGAUACGACUUUUGCCUCAUCCUAAUUAAGGCACUAUGAAAAAUCCUUUCAAGUUUGGCAUCACAAAGUAAUUUGCCUGGGUUUAAAAUGUAAUCUGGUUAAAGAUGCCUGAUAAGGUUUGAAGUCUGUCCAUGCAGGGAUGCAGACGGGCUCCCAGGCCCGCCCUUAAUUUCAGAAUCAGAGCAAGCUUUUUAGGAAGCAGGAACAGGAUUAUGUCGAAACCUUGAAUUUUGGAGACUUUAAAGCUUUGCAUUCUGGUCUUGGUUCUGUUGAAGGACUGGGAGGUCCAUCAGAUGACCUAAAUAAGGGACCAUAUACAGUGUUCAGCUCUGGGCCCCUCACUACAAGAGAGACAUUGAGGUGCUGGAGCGGGGCCAGAGAAGGGCAGCGGAGCUGGUGCAGGGCCUGGAGCACAAGUGUGAUGGGGAAGGGCUGAGGGACCUGGGGGGUUCAGGCUGGAGAAGAGAAGGCUCAGGGGGGACCUGAUGGCUGCCUACAAGUGCCUGAGAGGAGGAUGGAGCCAGGAGGGGCUGGGCUCUGCUCCCAAGGAACAAGGGAUGGGACAAGAGGAAACGGCCUCAAGCUGCCCCAGGGCAGGUUUAGAUGGAGCUGAGGAACAAUUCCUGCCCCAGAGGGUGCUCAGGCAUUGGAACAGGCUGCCCAGGGCAGGGCUGCAGUCACCGUCCCUGCAAGUGUUCACACAGCGUGGAGACGAGGCCUCAGUGCCAUGGGUUAGGGGUGGCCUGGGCAGUGCUGGGGUAAGGGUUGGACUUGAUGAUCUCAAAGGUCUUUUCCAACCUGGAUGACUCUAUAUGUCCAGUGUACUUUAUUCUUUUUGCUAGUACUUCUUCCCAGUGUUUUUUCAAGCCAUGAUUUCUCGCUGCACAGUGUUGGAUGUCACGUGAGAGUUGCUUAAAUUACCUCAGUUCAUCCUGAGACACCCCGAUGGGUGAUUUCUGGUUGUUUUAGAGUGUUUUGGUAGCUACCUUUGCAUGAUCUAAAAUGACAUGCAUUCCUCUUGUGACAUUGGGCUCUCUUUACACCCUUGAGGAGUCUGAAGCCAUAUGUCUGAACUUCUGUGGCUCAUCUCCAUUGAGUGAGAAACAGCUGAAAACAGAGAGAACUUUGCCAUGCAUAAUUACUGCUGGAUUUGGCAUGUGGAGACUCUUUCCUUUAACCUCAACAGGAAUUACUUCACAGAAGGAGUGAAACAGGAUGUCUUCUUGACAUUCCUUUCUGCUGAGAAUAAAGCCCUAAAAAGAAGAGAAUUGGUUAUAAAAAGCAAACUGCAGUCUUUGUGCUUGUCCAGUGUGGAGGAUGUCAUCCAAGCGCAGUGUUGGUUGUCUGUGCUGAGGGUGGUGCUGAAACUACUCAGUGGUUGAGCUGCUGUGAGGAGUCCAGCGCAGCUUUCCUGCCAGACCUAGAGAAGAGAGCCCAGAGAUGCUGUAGUUCUAAGUACAAGCUUCAUAAUGAAGAUUCUGGGUUUCUCUACAACUCACUCAUGCUUCACUUAUGCUUUUUCUGUUAAAUCCCUCAGGAAAGUUGGGCACAAUUUAAUGGUCUUCAGUGCAGCUCCAAGGCAGCUAUGGAGAGCUGCAAAAAGGACUUUGUGCUUUCCAUCUCAAAAGCUGUCACUGUUGGUAGGCUGCCCUUGGACAUGCUUGGAGAAUGGGGUGCUCCUGACACUGUACAUCAGAAACCAGAGCUCUGGCUGCUCUCCCAUGGAGGACACUGGUUGGCUUUCCCUGCCUUGAUGACUGAAGCUUUUUGCACUUCUUUCAGAACAGCUUUGUUCAGAUCUGGCCCCUGUAGUCAAUGCCAGCAUGUAGAGCCUGUGUUGUAUGUGAACUCUGCUCCAUUGCAUGUAAUCAGCUGGAAAUGCUCCCGUAAUGGGAGCAGAUUGCAGAGUUGAGUGUCUGUAAUGCUUUUAAGAAUAAAGGACAGCAUAUGCACUCAAACCAGA